AUUUAUAUAAAAGAUAGGUAAGUGUUUUAAGGGCACUGCUUCGUGUCUUGGAAUUAUUUUUGCAAUUUAAAGAUUCACAAUGAAGGGGCUUCAUCUGAUAUUUUUCUUACUAAUCGGCUGCUUUUCGUUAUAUAACGCGGCACCGGUGAUCGGACCUGCACCACAGCCUUUUCUUGAUACUAUAAAGAGAUGUGACAAGUCGAAGGGCUGUAUAUUUAAUGAUUCCGGAGAUGUAAGCGUUAAUAACAACAAGCAAAGCUGAUAUAAAUCUUAGGAAGCGAUCAUUAGCGCCCCGGGCGGAGGCACGACAAUGUAACAAACAAGCAAUAAGCUUUUUAAAAGUAAAUAAUUGUGAAAUAUAACAUUUUAUUGUGUUUUACUUA